rnacentral:rRNA from 1 species
UACGGGGGGGGCAAGCGUUGUUCGGAAUUACUGGGCGUAAAGGGCUCGUAGGCGGCCAACUAAGUCAGACGUGAAAUCCCCAGGCUCAACCUGGGAACUGCGUCUGAUACUGGAUGGCUUGAAUUCGGGAGAGGGAUGCAGAAUUCCUGGUGUAGCGGUGAAAUGCGCAGAUAUCAGGAGGAACACCAAUUGCGAAGGCAGCUCGCUGGAACGUUACUGACGCUGAGACGCGAAAGCGUGGGGAGCAAACAGG